CCGGGACGCGGGGCGGGCGGUCGUACCGCGCUGCGGUGGGCGCGCUGUCCCCUCGCGGAGCUCGGGCUGGGAGUUCCCUGGCAAAAGCUCCGAAAAAUGCGUAGGUGGCAGAGGUGAGAGCAGGACCUGGCCUUCAGCAGGUACCUGCUUGCUGAAUGAGUGAAUGGAGUCCAGAGUCAGUGCCAGUAACUGGAAGAAGACCAGGCGUUCUACUGUAAAGAGCAAGGCUUUAUUCACAACUUCAACAGGGAAGCAAGAAAUACAGCAAGAACAUAGUUUGUGUCUGCAUCAGCACUAUUCCUGGCGACCCGACCAGAAAUCACAGUUAUGGGGUGAGAGAUUUGAGCUCAGGACUUACAUCCUGACGGGGCCACUAUGAGGGUUCCAUUCAGCACCUUCCCUGGCUGAGCACAAUCUACGCCGUGUUGUCCUGUC